AUACGGAGGUUGCAAGCGUUAUCCGGAUUUAUUGGGUUUAAAGGGUGCGCAGGCGGAUAAUUAAGUCAGUGGUGAAAUCCUCCCGCUCAACGGGAGAACUGCCAUUGAUACUGAUAAUCUGGAAUACGGUUGAAGUGGGCGGAAUGUAGCAUGUAGCGGUGAAAUGCAUAGAGAUGCUACAGAAUACCGAUCGCGAAGGCAGCUCACUAAGCAGAUAUUGACGCUCAGGCACGAAAGCGUGGGUAGCGAACAGGAUUAGAAACCCUAGUAGUCC
rnacentral:rRNA from 1 species